rnacentral:misc_RNA from 1 species
AGAAAGCAAAGACCUUCAGCAAAAGGUUGCAGAAAUGAGCUUACAGACUGGAGUUCCAUCUGAAUAUACCCAUAUGAUUUUGCAUAAGACUGACAAAGGGGACAAAGCACCACAACCAAUUCUGAUGCAGGAGGUAUUCAACAAAAUUAACUCGCUUAGACAAGUGGAUUCAGAAAGUCAGAAUGUCAUUUUCUUGCGGAACCUAGGUGUUGGCUUUGGCAAUUUGAGUGCAACAGCAGCAAACAUUCCUCCUGGAACAGAGCAAAUAAAGUCACCUGAAGCUACAGAAUUGCUGGUUAAGGCUGCUUCCAAUUGUUGCAGUAGGCUGGUCGACAGGUGCUGUUGCAGGUGCUUCAUCCAGGCUUGUACAUACAUGAAUGGGCAGUGCUACAUUGUCCUCUCGCAACUCUGUGUUGCCCUCGCUUGCUUUC